rnacentral:lncRNA from 1 species
CAAGAAAGUACAACACGUACUAUGCUGUCAUUGUGCCACGUUUCCCAGAGGCUGCUUAUCCCUUUGGAGGCAGGUACACUGAAGCAGUACGACACUGAGCUGUGUAAGAAAGAGUGAUGGAUUGUGACAGGGUGACUUUUUUCUUCUUCUAAUGAGUCUUCAUUUUAUUUUUUCCCACUCCCUAAUUGAGGGCCCCAGGGCAAUGCUGAGCACAGGUGUAGGAUGAUUUACAUGGUAAUGUGGCACAAGCAGGCGGCAGUCACAAGUAGGUAUUUAUUCUGCUCUGACGGAAAUGGCUCCAGUAUGUCUGUCUUUCACUUGUGAGUUUCUCUCGUUGUUAUUCAGGGAAUAAACGACAGAAACACCAAGACCAAACAGAGCAGAAAAUCUUGUCGACAAUGGACCCUUGUCUCUGCCAGCCCCUCAGUAUAUGCAUCAAGAGUCUGCAGCAAUAUUUUUUUUUGUUGUUGUUGUUCCUCUGAAUAAUACAGAAAAGAAGCACUUAACCAAGAGUCUAGGUGCCAUGGCUACCAAGUAAAAAUAUCACAUAUAAAAACUUAAUUGCCAAGCAGAUGAUCUACUGGGAGAAGCUGGAAUGGGGUUGUUCUCAGCUUCCUGCUUCCGAUCAGAAGCACUGGGGAAUGCAGAGGGGGACCGUGUUGUUAACGCAGCCAUUAGCCUGAAGCAGAGCAUGCCUUGACCCCUUGGGCACAGCAUGGAACUGCAUGAGAUCCUUACAGGCUUUGCAAUGAUAUGCGUGAUUUACAGGACAUGGUCUUCUUUGCUGAAAAGAACUGGGGUAGCAGAAAUGACCAGAGAACCCCAGGCCUAGUCACUGCCCUUCUGAGAUUUUAUCAGAUAAGUCUCCACAAACUGCUUUGAUUUUGACAAACAAUAUAAUAGUGUGGAAUUGUUAAGUUAUUCUAACUUUCUCAGCUUGAUGCUUUAAGCAGUGCAGCUCUUCAGAGUGUACAACGCUCAUGCAAUUAUCAUUAGCUAAAUGCUCUUUUAAGUCUCCUAAGGUGAAAGAAAUCAUAAAGCUAUGAACAAAGAUGCAGAAAAG